rnacentral:rRNA from 1 species
AUACGGAGGGGGCUAGCGUUGUUCGGAAUUACUGGGCGUAAAGCGCGCGUAGGCGGUAUAUCUAGUUAGGCGUGAAAGCCCUGGGCUCAACCCAGGAACUGCGUUUAAUACUGAUGAACUAGAGUCCGGGAGAGGGUAGUGGAAUUCCCAGUGUAGAGGUGAAAUUCGUAGAUAUUGAGAAGAACACCAGUUGCGAAGGCGGCUACCUGGCCCGGUACUGACGCUGAGGUGCGAAAGCGUGGGGAGCAAACAGGAUUAGAAACCCCUGUAGUCC